UGAGGAAUAUUGCACAAUGGGCGCAAGCCUGAUGCAGCGACGCCGCGUGGGUGAUGAAGGUCUUCGGAUCGUAAAGCCCUUUUCUGCGUGACGAGACAGGACGGUAGCGCAGGAAUAAGUCUCGGCUAACUACGUGCCAGCAGCCGCGGUAAAACGUAGGAGACGAACGUUAUCCGGAGUUACUGGGCGUAAAGGGCGUGUAGGCGGUUUGUUAAGUCUGGCGUGAAAGCUCUCGGCUAAACCGGGAGAGGUCGUUGGAUACUGGCGAACUAGAGGAUGGUAGAGGCGUGUGGAAUUCCGGGUGUAGUGGUGAAAUGCGUAGAUAUCAGGAGGAACACCGGUGGUGUAGACGGCUCUCUGGACCGCAACUGACGCUGAGACACGAAAGCGUGGGUAGCAAACAGGAUUAGAUACCCCUGUAGUCCCUGAGCGGGCUGGCAAGGCGCAU
rnacentral:rRNA from 1 species